UACUUUGCAUUUUUGCUGCAGCUGCUCGAUUUUCUAUUUCGCAUAUCUAUUAUUUUUGGAAAAUGCAGAAAAAACAGUCAGCGUCUCUUGCCGAAAUAUAUUCUGAUAUAACCUUAACAAGAUUUUUCGAGGCAUAUAUAUCGAAAAGUAAUACAUUUUAUCAUGAUUGAAUCUGUUCCGUUUUUCGCGGCUGGCUGCGCCUGGUUACGCUUCCACUUGUUUCCCCGAUUCUCGAUUGCCGACGUUGCGAAUCGACCACGAGGAUGCCGACGAUGGACACGAAUAAUAGCUGCGAGAGACGACGCGCGAAUAAAACGCUCCGGCUCCUGUCGAGAAUACAUUAGCGUACUUGAUGAACCUGAUCAGCUUUAACGGAAUAAAUUAAAAAUGUAUAUUAAAAGCAAAGAGUUGUCGUUCUUCGUAGAAUGAUUAAUUGUCCGGAUACAGUCGAGGAAGAACGUCGUCGUCAGCGGAGCGCGGAACGUUUCUUGAACCGCGCGACUCUCCUCCUUCGUCGCCGUCGCCGCCGCGAGGGGUCCGGGCCGUUUUUCUCCGCCGCGCUCCGUUGACGCCGCUCCAUCAGAGCGGUUGCCACGCUUGAGACGCGGUGGGACGUUACCAGCGGCGAGAGACCGACGCGAGCAAAAAACGCAACCUUCGUGCUUAAAGCGAAACGAGAGGCAUGCCACGGUGACGACCGCACCGUUGCACCUGCAUCUCCUCGUUGCGCUCCUCUUGUUGGCACUCCUACCUUACUGAUCCCUUACCGCGGGAUACCGAGAAUGCCCGCGAGCGCAUAACGCAGCGCAGCUCCGCUUCACUCUUCUGCCUUUCGACAGAUUUUUUUUCAUACAUUAUAUAGAAUUAUAAGUAAUAUGUACAGUUUUGUAUUCUAAAAGUAAAAUGUUUUAUUUCUGA